rnacentral:rRNA from 1 species
AGGGAAUAUUGGACAAUGGGCGCAAGCCUGAUCCAGCCAUGCCGCGUGAGUGAAGAAGGCCCUCGGGUUGUAAAGCUCUUUUGUCCGGAAAGAAAAGCGCCGGGUUAAUACCCUGGUGUCCUGACGGUAUCGGAAGAAUAAGCAACGGCUAACUUCGUGCCAGCAGUUGCGGUAAUACGAAGGGUGCAAGCGUUACUCGGAAUUACUGGGCGUAAAGCGUGCGUAGGUGGUUCGUUAAGUCCGAUGUGAAAGCCUUGGGCUCAACCUGGGAAUGGCAUUGGAUACUGGCGGGCUAGAGUGCGGUAGAGGGUAGUGGAAUUCCCGGUGUAGCAGUGAAAUGCGUAGAGAUCGGGAGGAACAUUUGUGGUGAAGGCGACUACCUGGACCAGCACUGACACUGAGGCACGAAAGCGUGGGGAGCAAAC